AACCAUAGAAACCUGCGGAGUACCUGCGGAAGGAUCAUUACAGAGUUGCAAAACUCCCUAAACCAUUGUGAACGUUACCUAGACCGUUGCUUCGGCGGGCGGCCCGGGUCCUUCCCGGCGCCCAUCGGCCCUCGCGGGCGCCCGCCGGAGGUAAACCAAACUAUUGCAUUGUAUGGCCUCUCUGAGUCUUCUGUACUGAAUAAGUCAAAACUUUCAACAAUGGAUCUCAGAUCGGAAGAG
rnacentral:misc_RNA from 1 species